rnacentral:rRNA from 1 species
GACGAACGCUGGCGGCGUGCUUAAUACAUGCAAGUCGAACGCACAGUUUAUACCGUAGCUUGCUACACCAUAGACUGUGAGUUGCGAACGGGUGAGUAACGCGUAGGUAACCUGCCUGGUAGCGGGGGAUAACUAUUGCAAACGCUAGCUAAUACCGCAUACUAUUAAUUGUUGCAUGAUAAUUAUUUGAAAGGUGCAAUUGCACCACUGCUAGAUGGCCCUGCGUUGUAUUAGCUAGUAGCUGAGGUAACGGCUCACCUAGGCGACGAUACAUAGCCGACCGGAUAUGGUGAGCGGCCGCACUGAGACGGUGACACGGCCCAGACGCAUACGGGAGGGAGCAGGAGGGAAUCUGCAGGAAUGGACGAGAGUCUGAGCGAGCAGCGCGGAGUGAGUGAAGAAGGUUGUCGGGUCGUAAAGCUCGGUUGUAAGGGAAUAACGGGUUUGAGAGUGGAAAGUUCACACUGUGACGGUAUCUUACCAGGAAGGGACGGCUAACUACGUG